CUGACAGCCCUGAGGACUGAAGCCCUCUCCUAACCACAGAAAAGAUAUAGUGAAAGCAGUGUGGGAUGUACCUCACCGCAUUGCCAUGCACGUGUAGGCCUCAAGCCUAUUUCAGAAGGGUCACCUCUGGACUGGCAGAAUGAUUCAAUAUUACAUUCUUCACUGCUUAUCUCUGUUUGGAAAAG
rnacentral:sRNA from 1 species